UACGGGGGGGGCAAGCGUUGUUCGGAAUUACUGGGCGUAAAGCGCGCGUAGGCGGCUCUUCAAGUCGAGUGUGAAAGCUCCAGGCUUAACCUGGGAAUUGCGCUCGAUACUGUUGAGCUAGAGUGUGGAAGGGGCUACUGGAAUUCCGUGUGUAGCGGUGAAAUGCGUAGAGUAUACGGAGGAACACCAGCGGCGAAGGCGGGUAGCUGGGCCAAACACUGACGCUG
rnacentral:rRNA from 1 species